ensembl:lncRNA
UGUGCAAGUCCAGAACAGAGAGUUGCAAUAAGGCCAAAAAUUGCCGAUCGCGUGAAGGCCAAAGUAUACUUCGGCCGUCGGUGUACCGUCGGCAUUACGUUAUUUUUGUCAAGAGGGCUCGCAGACAGCCGCGCACCCGUGGAACUGUAGUGCGCAUUUGUCGGGCUCAUCCGUCCAUGCUCAUCUGCAGUUGAGUAUACUUUUGAAAGCUGUGUGGACACAGCUGUGCAUGAGACGGAAAGGAACGCUGAAUGUGAAGUGUACCCAGGCCUUAAGUUCCGGGAGCAGCUCCUUAAGUUCAGCCAUCCUACACACACGUGACUGACUGCUCGCUCGCACCAACAGGAGGAGGAGGGGUCAGUUGCUUGCAGUGUUUGGCUAAUCACAAUGCACUAGGUUAGUUGGCCAAUCAGAGCAGACUGUGCUUGUCGGAAGGACUUUGUAGAAAACGACGCACUUGAGAGAGGUCAGAAGUGGGGCAAAUGCUUGUAUGUCAGAAAUGGAGGAGGGCAUCGGUAUACUGUCGAAGAUUUGUUGUCAACCUGUGCUGAAUCCAGUAAUACAGAAUACAGAAGUGCCAAUUAUAAAGGGUUCUGUUGUCUAUCGUAUUGCACCACUCACAUCCGGUGUAAAGGGGUAAAAUGAGCAAAGCUCCAGAUCACGUCAGUGAAACACUGUUUGUUUGUUUGCUUCAGGACUGUUUGUUUGUUUGCUAUGGAUUAAUUUUUAAACAAGAGAAACAAUUAUGCACUUGUGAUUAGAGCAAUGGAGCAUGGAAAAUGUAGUCCAGGGUGAUGUGUAACAGUCAGUGUAGUGUGAAAGUCCAUGUGAAGAACGGGUGACCUCUGGUGGUGAGUGAAAAGAAGUUUAU